rnacentral:lncRNA from 1 species
CUGCUCAGAGCCUUUAUUCAGUUGAAGCUGCUGGGGGCUCCUGCAGCCUCGGGGAGUGUGGUGCCACUGGCACUGGAGGCAACAGAAGGCGAAGCUGUUUGGAUAGAGAAGCCAGCUGGUAGCGCAGAACCCAGAACAUCUGGUGAUCUUCAGAUGACAUCACAAGGUGCAGGGAGGCCUGGCUGAAGUUGCAAUGGGACCACUUCUGAGGACCUGAAUCUUCAAUGAUGGAUGUCCAGAGGCCAUCUCCCAGGUGUCAUCAAACUAACAACAGAGAUCAAUCAUCAUAGGUGCUGAGUGUACUGGGUCGAUACUGUGUGGGGACCGAGCAUGGCACUGGCUGGGUACUGGAUGUAUACUUGACCAUCACUGAGAGGGCACUGAGUGAGUAUUGAGCAAAUACUUGGCAGUAAGGGUCCAAAGAAGAUUCCCACCUCAGGCUUGGCACUCCUGCCACAGGUGCUCAAGCCAGAAACCUGGCUGCUCAAUCCAAUCAAUACACCUGCAGCUCCUGUGGUUUUAUUUCUAG